CUGCUAUAAAAAGGCAAUUUAGAAUGAGCUCUUAUGGGUUUCUUGGGAGUUUGAAACCAGCCUGAGAUGGACACUCAAGGGCCUGCAGAUUUUCGUACUUCUGCACCGGCUUCAUUUUUCAACACCAGAGGUUGCCACUUACUUAGAAAGCCUGAAGCACAACCCGAAAUGACCCGUUCUACUGACAUAUUCCCCAUAUUAACUAACAAUAUUUCAAUAUUAAAACUUAAUUUCAAUGCCCUGAUAGGCCAAAAACCUCAAUAAGUACUAGUUAAAGAAAGGACCAGGUAAAUCAACAUGAAAGUGGGUUGCACAGAAAUAUUUCUAAAAUCUGUGGCAGCAUUAUUCAAAACAGUCGACAACUAAAAAAGAAAGUAAACUAGAACCGGAGCUACACAGACAAUUCAAAACUAAAUUAAACUUAACCUUUAAGACAUAAAAUAGUAGAUGCUGGGUGCUGGUUUUUCUUUGUGGAUAAAUUGAGCCCCUCAGGAAAGGGGGCUUCAGUCCUUGAAGCUGGUGGUCAUGGCUGGUGGGGUUUGAUUUCAACCUGCUUUUAACCGCAUGUCAUUCCUCACUCUCUCCUUAUUGUGGUGACAAGCUAAUGUUAGCAACAUCUGGUGGUUUGUUUCAAUAUUUAGUAGCACCUUUCAGCCGCAUAAGUACUGUGUUUGGUAAAAGCCAGUUUGAUUAAGUAAUACAUCAAUCUACACUCAGUAAACACCUGAAUUAUACACUAGAAAGAGCAACUCUUUUAUCGUUUGACGUAAUACAAUUUGAAGAAACUCAAACUCAUUUAGUGUCCACAUUUGUUGGCCACAGAUAUUUUAGUUCCUCACUGUUGUCUUGAAAAACUCACACUGGGUCAGUCUUGUGUAAAAGGAAAGUAUCAGAAGUUUCCAUGCAGGAGUACUUGAUUUAUGUUGUUUUGAUUCUCUUCAUACUCUCCAUCAAUGCUGCAUGGUGUGCCUUUGUCUUUCCUCCUUUAUAGCAAAGAGCUAAAGGGUCCUGAGGUGUCAGCUACUUUCCAUGCUUUGCCCUCUUCUUUUUCCUAUCCUCCCCAUCGCUCCUUGAGGUUUCAAAUUCUCCUAAUCUUUCUUGUUCUCCAGGCUCAUGAAAAGAAAUCCAUCUGCCCUUUCGGGGAGAGCGUAAAAAAUAGUCCUGCAGCUUAAAUCAGACAGAAGAAUGGAUAGAGGUCCUUUGAAAAGAAGAAAAGGUGCAUUGCAGGAACGAAAAGUGUUCACAGGAGCACCGAGGUGAGGAAGUGCUGAAAUAUUUGGUGUUAGAAAAGAGUGGAUGACAUUACAAAUGGGCAGAGAGGAAGAGAGGAAAAAACAGGCAGGAGGGAGUCACAGAGGAGAGGCCUGGAAGUCAAAAGUGUGGUGAUAGAGAGGUUCAGAGAGAGUGUUAGAUACUGAAAGAACAGAGAGAGCAGAGAGGAAAGAAGCUGAGAAGGAAAAAAAAGCAAGGAUUGAUGAGAAAGAGAAAGGAUGAAGUGAACGAUGAGAGAGCUGGAAGAGGGGAGAUAAGGUGAGACGUGGGUUUGACAUCAUUACCGACAGCAGGGCUUGUGUUUACCACUCGGCUGCUGUUUACGGAGGAACUCAUACUGAGAGGACACCUGGUGAGCUGUCAACACACACACACACACACACACACACACACACACACACACACACACACACACACACACACACACACACACACACAGACAAACAUACACAGUGUCAUACACAGUGUCUGUGAGCAGCCGUCACAGCACUGCUCUCCGUGGUGCUGAACCCAACAUGGAGCAGCCCAGAGCGGGGCAGGACUCCUCCUCUGCCGUCCUUAUGGGGAGAAUCCUGCCAGAGGGGGACAACCAGGGGGAAAGGAGGGAGGGGGAUCUAUUUUUAACCACUCCGCUCAUUGUUUAUUAAUGAGCGGGUGUUUAGUCAGACCUGGGGUGCUGUUUAAUGUAUGAUGACAACGCCGCUCUCCAGGGACCUUUCCCAUACUCCUCGGCCUGCGUUUUACAUAACUGACACAGAUUUAGGGGAAGUGGGCUGGGCAGGUUGGCCAUGAGUGGGGGAUGGCGAGUAUGUGUGUAUGUAGGUGUGUGUGUGUGUGUGCAGAUAUGAGUAUCUUCUCUCCCUUGCUGCUAAGUGGUGUACACAUGGGGAGGUUUAACAAGGGGCCACACUGAGGUUCCCAUUUCCUCUUCAUGCUGGGAGCGAUCCAGAAUUCAGCUAAGAAGCAGCGGUCUUUCUUUGAUAUGCUAUGGAUCCUC
rnacentral:lncRNA from 1 species